UGACGCUCUGGGUGGAUCCACCUCCAGAAACACUGAUGCUGAUGAUAAAUACUGCUGUCAUCUCGAUCAGAGCACAUUCACUGCUUCAUCAUGGACAUCGAUCUGUGCUCAGGUAAACAGAUACAGAGCUUAUCAAUCAGAAAACACACAUCGGUUGAUUUCUAAGAGAAACUAACAGAUGUAUUCCUGUUUUUGAGCAGCUGCUGAGGGUGAUGAGGUGAAGAAGCAGGAGGGCAACGAGGUGGAGUCUGGAAAAAAGGAUGAAGAUAAAGACAAAGGUCAAGAAGAUAAAGAUAAAGAGUGCAAGGACAAAGAUAGUGACAAGGCGAAGAGUGAUUGCAAAGAAAAGAAAAAAGACAAAGAGUGCAAAGACAAAGAUAAGGACAAGUGCAAAGACAAGAGUGAUUCUAAGCAUAAGGAUGAACACAAGAAGCACAAAGAUAAAGAACAUAAAGACAAAGGCAAGAAGAAGAAGAAAGACAAGGAACACAAGAAGAAGGGCGGUGGCAAGUCCUCCUCUUCCUCCAGCGAUUCGGACUGAAGCAAGAUUCAUCAGAUACCUCCAGAAACAUAAUGUAAAAAUCUUUUAUUGUAUGAUUUAUAUGACAAUCUCUUGAAGUUUUCAUCAAGUUAUUGAGCUGUGAUUCCAAACUUCCUCAAGGUGGCGCUACCUACAUGUCAAAUCUUCAGUGAAACACUGGAAUAAAGAGACUUGUCUGCUAUUUUUGUAAAACUGUUUGCUGGUUUAAUAAAUUCUGAUGUUUGAAAUAGUUUUAUCCAUUUAGUCUCAUACUGGCUUUCAGUGGUUGCUGGUUAGUGGGCUAUUAGUGUUUUGAUAAAUCUUGGCCGGUUUGACGUACACACAAGUCAUAUUUGAUCAAUGUAUGUGUGUAACAAUCAAAUUAAGGCAUUCAGCACAAAUGAAUUGAUAUGUAUUGUCAAAACAAGGCUUCGUGUAGUAACUUGGUUAAUUCACCAUGACAAAAGUCAGUAGUCAACACGACAGUAUCUUUGUCUAAACAGCACGCUUCUGCAAAUGCAUGGUUGAUUUGGAAGGUUUCAGCACGAUCUGUUUGCUUAUUCAUCUACGUUUGAGUACGGCACAGAUAAUUCAUCUGAACAGCAGGACGAAACGCAGGCUGCUUCCAAACACUGUUUUGGACGCUCUUUGCUGGGCUGAAGACAACUGCAUGCCAGAGAUAAGAGAACCGGGCGAUGGUUGCCCAGAGGCGGAAGAGAGGGAGAUGUCUCUCUGUCCAUCAGACUGAGACAGUCUUUCUCUCUUAUUCGGUGCCAAACGCCUGCAGGAUAGAUGCAAAGCACAGUGUAGCAUUUUUUUUCCCAGCACCACCCCGUCGAGCUUUCACAUGCAUAUUUCAUCAAACACACUGAAGAUGCUGAAAGUUGAAUCCGGGGGAAAGUUGGCUUGUUUCGGCCGUUUGAGAUGUCCGGGUCAGAGAUCUGAACAUCUGCUGCUCUGCACGUUUCUCACAGAAGAGGGGUGUAAAUGCAGAGGCGUUUGUUUCAGAGGUUACUUAGCUGGAGUUUGAGGACAAAUUGCUGCCAAAAGUAACUAAAUCGGACAAAGGUUAGUGGGCUAUUAGUGUUUUGAUAAAUCUUGGCCGGUUUGACGUACACACACAAGUCAUAUUUGAUCAAUGUAUGUGUGUAACAAUCAAAUUAAGGCAUUCAGCACAAAUGAAUUGAUAUGUAUUGUCAAAACAAGGCUUCGUGUAGUAACUUGGUUAAUUCACCAUGACAAAAGUCAGUAGUCAACACGACAGUAUCUUUGUCUAAACAGCACGCUUCUGCAAAUGCAUGGUUGAUUUGGAAGGUUUCAGCACGAUCUGUUUGCUUAUUCAUCUACGUUUGAGUACGGCACAGAUAAUUCAUCUGAACAGCAGGACGAAACGCAGGCUGCUUCCAAACACUGUUUUGGACGCUCUUUGCUGGGCUGAAGACAACUGCAUGCCAGAGAUAAGAGAACCGGGCGAUGGUUGCCCAGAGGC
ensembl:lncRNA TRAF3-interacting protein 1-like